rnacentral:rRNA from 1 species
CGAAAGUCUGAGGCAGCGACGCCGCGUGGGGAAGAAGGCCUUCGGGUUGUAAACCUCUUUCAGCAGGGACGAAGCCACUCGGGUGAAUAGCCCAGAGGGUGACGGUACCUGCAGAAGAAGCCCCGGCUAACUACGUGCCAGCAGCCGCGGUAAUGCGUAGGGGGCAAGCGUUGUCCGGAUUUAUUGGGCGUAAAGAGCGUGUAGGCGGCCAGACAGGUCCGUUGUGAAAACUAGAGGCUUAACCUCUAGACGUCGAUGGAAACCGUCUGGCUAGAGUCCGGAAGAGGAGAAUGGAAUUCCUGGUGUAGCGGUGAAAUGCGCAGAUAUCAGGAAGAACACCCGUGGCUAAGGCGGUUCUCUAGUACGGUACUGACGCUGAGACGCGAAAGCGUGGGGAGCGAACAGGAUUAGACACCCUGGUAGUCCACGCCGUAAACGAUGGGUGCUAGGUGUGGGGGGUGUCGACUCCCUCCGUGCCGAAGCUAACGCAUUAAGCACCCCGCCUGGGGAGUACGGCCGCAAGGCUA